rnacentral:sRNA from 1 species
AGCGAUUGUUCGUGGCGCAGUGUAGAGA